rnacentral:rRNA from 1 species
GACGAACGCUGGCGGCGUGCUUAACACAUGCAAGUCGAACGGAAAGGCCCUGCUUUUGUGGGGUGCUCGAGUGGCGAACGGGUGAGUAACACGUUAGUAACCUGCCCUUGACUUUGGGAUAACUUCAGGAAACUGGGGCUAAUACCGGAUAGGAGCUCCUGCUGCAUGGUGGGGGUUGGAAAGUUUCGGCGGUUGGGGAUGGACUCGCGGCUUAUCAGCUUGUUGGUGGGGUAGUGGCUUACCAAGGCUUUGACGGGUAGCCGGCCUGAGAGGGUGACCGGCCACAUUGGGACUGAGAUACGGCCCAGACUCCUACGGGAGGCAGCAGUGGGGAAUAUUGCACAAUGGGCGGAAGCCUGAUGCAGCAACGCCGCGUGCGGGAUGACGGCCUUCGGGUUGUAAACCGCUUUCGCAUGUGACGAAGCGUGAGUGACGGUAAUGGGUAAAGAAGCACCGGCUAACUACGUG